rnacentral:rRNA from 1 species
AGUGAACGCUGGCGGCAGGCCUAACACAUGCAAGUCGAACGGAAGCACAGUAAGAGUUUGCUCUUAAGGGUGGCGAGUGGCGGGUGGGUGAGGAAUACAUAGGAAUCUACUUUGUCGGGGGGGAUAACGGAGGGAAAGUGACGCUACUACCGCAUAUGAUGUACGGGUGGGAGCAGGGGAUCAUGGGGGUUUGCGCGUCUGUAUGAGCCGGUGUCGGAUUAGCUAGUUGGCUGGGUAACGGCCCACCAAGGCGACGAUCCGUAGCUGGUCUGAGAGGAUGAUCGGCCACACUGGAACUGAGACACGGUCCAGACUCCUACGGGAGGCAGCAGUAGGGAAUAUUCGGCAAUGGGCGAAAGCCUGAUCCAGCAACACCGCGUGAGUGAAGAAGGCCUUCGGGUUGUAAAGCCCUUUUAUUGGGGAAGAAAAGCAGCAGGUUAAUACCCCGCUGUUCUGACGGUACCCAAAGAAUAAGCACCGGCUAACUUCGUG